GCCUCGCUAGCUCAAUGGCUAGAGCGUCAGACUUUUAAUCUGAAUGUUGCGGGUUCGAGUCCCGCGUGAGGCU